GCAAACUUGGUCAUUUAGAGGAAGUAAAAGUCGUAACAAGGUCUCCGUUGGUGAACCAGCGGAGGGAUCAUUACAGAGUUCUCGCAACUCCCAAAACCCUGGCGAACUUACUGCGCGUUGCCUCGGCGGCUCACCCCGCCGGCGGCCCGCGCGACAACACCUGAAUUCUUAGUUACAGUUGACAGGUUGAGAACUCAGCCGAAUACGUUAAAACUUUCAACAACGGAUCUCUUGGUUCUGGCAUCGAUGAAGAACGCAGC
rnacentral:misc_RNA from 1 species